GGUUAAGUUAGAAAGGGCGCACGGUGAAUGCCUUGGCACUAGGAGCCGAUGAAGGACGGGACUAACACCGAUAUGCUUCGGGGAGCUGUAAGUGAGCUUUGAUCCGGAGAUUUCCGAAUGGGGAAACCCACUGUUCGUAAUGGAACAGUAUCUUUAUCUGAAUACAUAGGAUAUUGAAGGCAGACCCGGGGAACUGAAACAUCUAAGUACCCGGAGGAAGAGAAAGCAAAUGCGAUUUCCUGAGUAGCGGCGAGCGAAACGGAAUUAGCCCAAACCAAGAGGCUUGCCUCUUGGGGUUGUAGGACACUCUAUACGGAGUUACAAAGGAACGAAGUAAAUGAAGCGACCUGGAAAGGUCCGUCGAAGAAGGUAACAACCCUGUAGUUGAAACUUCGUUCCCUCUUGAGUGGAUCCUGAGUACGGCGGAACACGUGAAAUUCCGUCGGAAGCUGGGAGGACCAUCUCCCAAGGCUAAAUACUACCUAGUGACCGAUAGUGAACCAGUACCGUGAGGGAAAGGUGAAAAGCACCCCGGAAGGGGAGUGAAAGAGAUCCUGAAACCGUGUGCCUACAAGUAGUCAGAGCCCGUUAACGGGUGAUGGCGUGCCUUUUGUAGAAUGAACCGGCGAGUUACGAUCCCAUGCAAGGUUAAGCUGAUAAGGCGGAGCCGUAGCGAAAGCGAGUCUGAAUAGGGCGUUUAGUAUGUGGUUGUAGACCCGAAACCAGGUGAUCUACCCAUGUCCAGGGUGAAGUUCAGGUAACACUGAAUGGAGGCCCGAACCCACGCACGUUGAAAAGUGCGGGGAUGAGGUGUGGGUAGCGGAGAAAUUCCAAUCGAACCUGGAGAUAGCUGGUUCUCUCCGAAAUAGCUUUAGGGCUAGCCUCAUGUUGUGAGAGUCUUGGAGGUAGAGCACUGAUUGGACUAGGGGCCCCCAACGGGUUACCGAAUUCAGUCAAACUCCGAAUGCCAAAGACUUAUCCAUGGGAGUCAGACUGCGAGUGAUAAGAUCCGUAGUCAAAAGGGAAACAGCCCAGACCACCAGCUAAGGUCCCCAAGUAUACGUUAAGUGGAAAAGGAUGUGGAGUUGCUUAGACAACCAGGAUGUUGGCUUAGAAGCAGCCACCAUUUAAAGAGUGCGUAAUAGCUCACUGGUCGAGUGACUCUGCGCCGAAAAUGUACCGGGGCUAAACGUAUCACCGAAGCUGUGGAUUGACAUCUUAGAUGUCAGUGGUAGGAGAGCGUUCUAAGUGCUGUGAAGUCAGACCGUAAGGACUGGUGGAGCGCUUAGAAGUGAGAAUGCCGGUAUGAGUAGCGAAAGACAAGUGAGAAUCUUGUCCACCGAAUGCCUAAGGUUUCCUGAGGAAGGCUCGUCCGCUCAGGGUUAGUCGGGACCUAAGCCGAGGCUGAAAAGCGUAGGCGAUGGCCAACAGGUUGAUAUUCCUGUACCACCUCCCCGCCGUUUGAGUAAUGGGGGGACGCAGUAGGAUAGGGUAAGCGCGCUGCUGGAUAUGCGCGUUCAAGCAGUUAGGCUGAUGAGUAGGCAAAUCCGCUCAUCAUAAAGGCUGAGCUGUGAUGACGAGGGAAUUAUAGUACCGAAGUUCCUGAUUCCACACUGCCAAGAAAAGCCUCUAGCGAGGCGGGAGGUGCCCGUACCGCAAACCGACACAGGUAGGCGAGGAGAGAAUCCUAAGGUGAUCGAGAGAACUCUCGUUAAGGAACUCGGCAAAAUGACCCCGUAACUUCGGGAGAAGGGGUGCUCUGGUAGGGUGUAUAGCCCGAGAGAGCCGCAGUGAAUAGGCCCAGGCGACUGUUUAGCAAAAACACAGGUCUCUGCGAAGCCGCAAGGCGAAGUAUAGGGGCUGACGCCUGCCCGGUGCUGGAAGGUUAAGAGGAGGGGUUAUCCUUUGGGAGAAGCUCUGAAUCGAAGCCCCAGUAAACGGCGGCCGUAACUAUAACGGUCCUAAGGUAGCGAAAUUCCUUGUCGGGUAAGUUCCGACCCGCACGAAAGGCGUAACGAUCUGGGCACUGUCUCAACGAGAGACUCGGUGAAAUUAUAGUACCUGUGAAGAUGCAGGUUACCCGCGACAGGACGGAAAGACCCCGUGGAGCUUUACUGUAGCCUGAUAUUGAAUUUUGGUACAGCUUGUACAGGAUAGGUAGGAGCCUGAGAAGCCGGAGCGCUAGCUUCGGUGGAGGCGUCGGUGGGAUACUACCCUGGCUGUAUUGAAAUUCUAACCCGCGGCCCUGAUCGGGCCGGGAGACAGUGUCAGGUGGGCAGUUUGACUGGGGCGGUCGCCUCCUAAAAUGUAACGGAGGCGCCCAAAGGUUCCCUCAGAAUGGUUGGAAAUCAUUCGUAGAGUGUAAAGGCACAAGGGAGCUUGACUGCGAGACCUACAAGUCGAGCAGGGACGAAAGUCGGGCUUAGUGAUCCGGUGGUUCCGCAUGGAAGGGCCAUCGCUCAACGGAUAAAAGCUACCCCGGGGAUAACAGGCUUAUCUCCCCCAAGAGUCCACAUCGACGGGGAGGUUUGGCACCUCGAUGUCGGCUCAUCGCAUCCUGGGGCUGUAGUCGGUCCCUAUCCGUCGUGGGCGUAGGAAAUUUGAGAGGAGCUGUCCUUAGUACGAGAGGACCGGGAUGGACACACCGCUGGUGUACCAGUUGUCUUGCCAAAGGCAUCGCUGGGUAGCUAUGUGUGGACGGGAUAAGUGCUGAAAGCAUCUAAGCAUGAAGCCCCCCUCAAGAUGAGAUUUCCCAUAGCGCAAGCUAGUAAGAUCCCUGAAAGAUGAUCAGGUUGAUAGGUCAGAGGUGGAAGCGUGGCGACAUGUGUAGCUGACUGAUACUAAUCGAUCGAGGACUUAACCAA
rnacentral:rRNA from 1 species